rnacentral:rRNA from 1 species
GUGGGGAAUUUUGGACAAUGGGGGCAACCCUGAUCCAGCAAUGCCGCGUGCAGGAAGAAGGCCUUCGGGUUGUAAACUGCUUUUGUACGGAACGAAACGGUCCUGGUUAAUACCUGGGGCUAAUGACGGUACCGUAAGAAUAAGCACCGGCUAACUACGUGCCAGCAGCCGCGGUAAUACGUAGGGUGCAAGCGUUAAUCGGAAUUACUGGGCGUAGAGCGUGCGCAGGCGGUUUUGUAAGACAGGCGUGAAAUCCGCGGGCUCAACCUGGGAAGGGCGCUUGUGACUGCAAGGCUGGAGUGCGGCAGGGGGGGAUGGAAUUCCGCGUGUAGCAGUGAAAUGCGUAGAUAUGCGGAGGAACACCGAUGGCGAAGGCAAUCCCCUGGGCCUGCACUGACGCUCAUGCACGAAAGCGUGGGGAGCAAACAGGAUUAGAUACCCGUGUAGUCC